rnacentral:rRNA from 1 species
CGUGCUUAACACAUGCAAGUCGAACGGAAAGGCCCUGCUUUUGUGGGGUGCUCGAGUGGCGAACGGGUGAGUAACACGUGAGUAACCUGCCCUUGACUUUGGGAUAACUUCAGGAAACUGGGGCUAAUACCGGAUAGGAGCUCCUGCUGCAUGGUGGGGGUUGGAAAGUUUCGGCGGUUGGGGAUGGACUCGCGGCUUAUCAGCUUGUUGGUGGGGUAGUGGCUUACCAAGGCUUUGACGGGUAGCCGGCCUGAGAGGGUGACCGGCCACAUUGGGACUGAGAUACGGCCCAGACUCCUACGGGAGGCAGCAGUGGGGAAUAUUGCACAAUGGGCGGAAGCCUGAUGCAGCAACGCCGCGUGCGGGAUGACGGCCUUCGGGUUGUAAACCGCUUUCGCCUGUGACGAAGCGUGAGUGACGGUAAUGGGUAAAGAAGCACCGGCUAACUACGUGCCAGCAGCCGCGGUGAUACGUAGGGUGCGAGCGUUGUCCGGAUUUAUUGGGCGUAAAGGGCUCGUAGGUGGUUGAUCGCGUCGGAAGUGUAAUCUUGGGGCUUAACCCUGAGCGUGCUUUCGAUACGGGUUGACUUGAGGAAGGUAGGGGAGAAUGGAAUUCCUGGUGGAGCGGUGGAAUGCGCAGAUAUCAGGAGGAACACCAGUGGCGAAGGCGGUUCUCUGGGCCUUUCCUGACGCUGAGGAGCGAAAGCGUGGGGAGCGAACAGGCUUAGAUACCCUGGUAGUCCACGCUGUAAACGGUGGGUACUAGGUGUGGGGUCCAUUCCACGGGUUCCGUGCCGUAGCUAACGCUUUAAGUACCCCGCCUGGGGAGUACGGCCGCAAGGCUAAAACUCAAAGGAAUUGACGGGGCCCCGCACAAGCGGCGGAGCAUGCGGAUUAAUUCGAUGCAACGCGUAGAACCUUACCUGGGUUUGACAUGGAUCGGGAGUGCUCAGAGAUGGGUGUGCCUCUUUUGGGGUCGGUUCACAGGUGGUGCAUGGCUGUCGUCAGCUCGUGUCGUGAGAUGUUGGGUUAAGUCCCGCAACGAGCGCAACCCUUGUUCACUGUUGCCAGCACGUUAUGGUGGGGACUCAGUGGAGACCGCCGGGGUCAACUCGGAGGAAGGUGGGGAUGACGUCAAGUCAUCAUGCCCCUUAUGUCCAGGGCUUCACGCAUGCUACAAUGGCUGGUACAGAGAGUGGCGAGCCUGUGAGGGUGAGCGAAUCUCGGAAAGCCGGUCUCAGUUCGGAUUGGGGUCUGCAACUCGACCUCAUGAAGUCGGAGUCGCUAGUAAUCGCAGAUCAGCAACGCUGCGGUGAAUACGUUCCCGGGGCUUGUACACACCGCCCGUCAAGUCAUGAAAGUUGGUAACACCCGAAGCCGGUGGCCUAACCGUUGUGGGGGAGCCGUCGAAGGUGGGACUGGUGAUUAGGACUAAGUCGUA